rnacentral:lncRNA from 1 species
ACAAGUAUGCCACAUACCUCUUCAAAAUGGAAAAGAAUCAAUAUCAAUCUCAACAAUGUUAUGGGGUAGGAGACUUAAAUCUCAACUAGAGAUGACUCAUGUCUAAUUCUUUUAUGAAAAGGUUUUAAACAUGGAAAAGCCAAAGUGGCAAAAAUGUUUGAAUUAAGUUUGUGUUUUUAGGUCUUAUGAAAAGAUCUUUAAAUAUGCUUAAGUUUUUUGAAGCAUUUGAUUAAGAAAUAAAAGGGAAAACAAUGACCUAAGUCAAAGUUUAUUAUGAAAGUGGUUAUAAUAAGGAGAGAGAGAGAGAUAGAAUCCUAAGGUUUACAUUGAGGGGAAUCUAAGAUUGUAUCUAGAAGUUUUGGAUUAAGGGGAAUCAAAGUUGUAUAGAAUGCAGAUGAACACACACAUGCAAAAUGACAAGAAUGUCAUGAUUCCUUUCACUUGGAUAUAAAUAAUAACAAGGUUGAACAUGCAUUGACAUUAAGGCACAAAAUAUGGCUAAAUACAAUGGAAAUCACAAGGUGAUUUAUGUAUGAAUGACAAUAUUUAUCAUGGUUUUUAGGCAUUAAGAUAAACAUAAACAAGACAUGACGAAGUUUCACAUAACAU